UAGGGAAUCUUCCGCAAUGGACGCAAGUCUGACGGAGCAACGCCGCGUGAGUGAAGAAGGUUUUCGGAUCGUAAAACUCUGUUGUAAGAGAAGAACAAAUUGUAGAGUAACUGCUACAGUCUUGACGGUAUCUUACCAGAAAGCCACGGCUAACUACGUGCCAGCAGCCGCGGUAAUACGUAGGUGGCAAGCGUUGUCCGGAUUUAUUGGGCGUAAAGGGGGCGCAGGCUGCUUCUUAAGUCUGAUGUGAAAGCCCACGGCUUAACCGUGGAAGUGCAUUGGAAACUGGGAAGCUUGAGUACAGAAGAGGAAAGUGGAACUCCAUGUGUAGCGGUGGAAUGCGUAGAUAUCAGGAGGAACACCGAUGGCGAAGGCAGGUUACUGGGCCGUUACUGACGCUGAGGAGCGAAAGCAUGGGGAGCGAACAGG
rnacentral:rRNA from 1 species